AUUAGGAAUCUUGCACAAUGGGCGAAAGCCUGAUGCAGCGACGUCGCGUGGGGGAUGAAAUCUUUCGGGAUGUAAACCCCUUUUGAGUGGGAAGAAACAAAUGACGGUACCACUCGAAUAAGCCCCGGCUAACUACGUGCCAGCAGCCGCGGUAAUACGUAGGGGGCCAGCGUUGUCCGAAGUUACUGGGCGUAAAGAGCGCGUAGGCGGGCCUUUAAGUGAGAGGUGAAAUUUCGGGGCUCAACCUCGGAACUGCCUUUCAUACUGGGGGCCUUGAGUGCGGGAGAGGCGAGUGGAAUGGUCGGUGUAGCGGUGAAAUGCGUAGAUAUCGAUCGGAACACCCAUGGCGAAGGCAGCUCGCUGGCCUGCAACUGACGCUGAGGCGCGAAAGCCGGGGGAGCAAACAGG
rnacentral:rRNA from 1 species